rnacentral:rRNA from 1 species
GGUUUCUUGUUUAUAUGGGAAAUUUGGCCUGCCCACUGAAUUUAUUUUUAAGGGCCGCAGUAUUUUGACUGUGCAAAGGUAGCAUAAUCAUUAGUCUUUUAAUUGAAGGCUGGAAUGAAUGGUUGGACGAAAUAAAAUCUGUUUCAUUAAAAAUUUUUUGAAUUUGGGUUUUAAGUAAAAAUUCUUAGAUGUUAUUAAGGGACGAGAAGACCCUAUAGAGUUUAAUGUAUUGAUUUUAAAUUAGGUUUUUAAUUAAUUUAUAAUUUUUUAUUUAAUGUAUUUGAUUGGGGUGAUUGGAAGAUAUUUUUAACUCUUUUUAUAUUUUAAUAAAUAUUUUUAGUUUAUUGAUCCAUAAUUUUUAUGAUUAUAAGAUUAAAUUACCUUAGGGAUAACAGCAUAAUUUUUUUUGAGAGUUCUUAUUGAGAGAAAAGAUUGUGACCUCGAUGUUGGAUUAAGAUAAAUAAUAGGAGCAGGUUCUUGUUAAUUAGGUCUGUUCGACCUUUAAAAUCUUACA